rnacentral:rRNA from 1 species
GACGAACGCUGGCGGCGUGCCUAAUACAUGCAAGUCGAGCGCAGGAAAUCAUCCGAACCCUUCGGGGGGACGUUGAUGGAAUGAGCGGCGGACGGGUGAGUAACACGUAAAGAACCUGCCCUUAGGUCUGGGAUAACCACGAGAAAUCGGGGCUAAUACCGGAUGGGUCAUCGGACCGCAUGGUCCGAGGAUGAAAGGCGCUUCGGCGUCGCCUGGGGAUGGCUUUGCGGUGCAUUAGCUAGUUGGUGGGGUAAUGGCCCACCAAGGCGACGAUGCAUAGCCGACCUGAGAGGGUGAUCGGCCACACUGGGACUGAGACACGGCCCAGACUCCUACGGGAGGCAGCAGUAGGGAAUCUUCCACAAUGGACGAAAGUCUGAUGGAGCAACGCCGCGUGAACGAUGAAGGCCUUCGGGUCGUAAAGUUCUGUUGUAAGGGAAGAACAAGUGCCGCAGGCAAUGGCGGCACCUUGACGGUACCUUGCGAGAAAGCCACGGCUAACUACGUGCCAGCAGCCGCCGUAAGAC